UCUGGUCUAGUCCUACUGUCAUGAUGUGGUGGUGUUGGUGGUGAGGCAGACGCUUGUAGACCCAGGUAAAGAUGAAAUGAAGGUAGUUUAAUGAUGAAGAAGCCAGAGUACAAAAUCCAAAAACACCAGGCAGAACGACUGAGCAGAAGCCAGGGCUCAACACCGGAAGCAACUGGCUAUACG